GUCCAACUGAUGAGUCUCAAGUAGGACGAAACACACGUCCUAGAU
rnacentral:hammerhead_ribozyme from 1 species